AAGUACUCUGGCGGUCCGGACCACGAUGUACAGGGCGCUACAAACGUGCUCGAUCGUUUAACGGAAGACGGGGUAAUAUAUAUUCUCUUAAUAUUUCUUUGUUAUUUUUAAACUAAAUAAAUGCAUACACUAACAAAUCUCUAAUUUGUUAACAAAUCUCUAAUUUGUUUUUAAAAAUAUCAGUUUACUUGGACUCCUUAUGACGUCAGUCAGUGCUUGUAUCCAGAGGACGCUGCAUGUUGGUCAGCAACCACAUUUAUCAUUAACUUUGAGGUCGUAGAGUUUCAUCAGACCGACAGAGUCCGUCUCUAAUUUGGAUUUCAACAUGCGGGAUUUGAUGGCGUUCCACAAGUCAUGACUCGUUACCACAGAACAACAAUGCGA
rnacentral:lncRNA from 1 species